ensembl:lncRNA
UGCCUCCUUGCCUUUUCCCUAAGCUUUAGUGCUUCCAGUCUGGUCACUAACUUCCUCAGCUCUGACGUGGCCUUGGGGGAGGAUCAGGUCAUUCCUUAGCAGGGGGAGGAUCAGGUCAUUCCUUAGCAGGGGGAGGAUCAGGUCAUUCCUUAGCAGGGGGAGGAUCAGGUCAUUCCUUAGCAGGGGGAGGAUCAGGUCAUUCCUUAGCAGGGGGAGGAUCAGGUCAUUCCUUAGCAGGGUGAGGCUAAGUGAGGAUAGCUCCUCAACUCUGACAUGGCCUUGGGGGAGGAUCAGGUCAUUCCUUAGCAGGGUGAGGCUAAGUGAGGAUAGCGCCUCAGACGUGUCUGAGAGAGAAUGGCAGAAUACACACAAGAGUGCAUUUUCCAUUUCCCUCUUUAUCUGUUAAGCAGUGAGUAAAUAAACGGUCACUGGUCAAUUACUUGAUUCUGAAAGUUCAUUUGAGUCUUGAACCUAUAAUUAUUUUAACUAGUGUUAUAUUAAAUUUCCUGUUUUAAAACUGACCUUUUCCCGCCCUUUGAACUUCCGCGGUUGUUGAUGCUACGGCCAGGUCCUCCACGUGUCCUGACCUUCAUCAGCGGCCAGGUUCUCCAUGAGUACUGGCCUUCGUCAGCGGCCAGGUUCUCCAUGAGUACUGGCCUUCAUCAGCGGCCAGGUUCUCCAUGUGUACUGGCCUUCAUCAGCGGCCAGGUUCUCCAUGUGUACUGGCCUUCAUCAGCGGCCAGGUUCUCCAUGUGUACUGGCCUUCAUCAGCGGCCAGGUUCUCCAUGUGUACUGGCCUUCGUCAGCUCCCAGGUCCUUGUCUUCGUCUCGAUGCCUUCAGGAACACUGAGGGCUCUGUGGACAUGAGGGGACCCAGCGAGUUCCCUAUGACGCUAGGCGGUGUUCAAAUAUCCCCCCAUGUCUCUUGUGCUAACAAAAAACAAUAAUAUCUGUGGUAUUUACCAUUCUAGCACUUAGUGCACUCACACAGACACACACAGACACACACUCACACAG